UACGAAGGGUGCAAGCGUUAAUCGGAAUUACUGGGCGUGAAGGGUGCGUAGGCGGUCUGUUAAGUUGGAUGUGAAAGCCCCGGGCUCAACCUGGGAAUGGCAUCCAAAACUGGCAGGCUGGAGUGCGGUAGAGGAUGGUGGAAUUCCCGGUGUAGCGGUGAAAUGCGUAGAGAUCGGGAGGAACAUCGAUGGCGAAGCCAGCCAUCUGGACCAGCACUGACGCUGAGGCACGAAAGCGUGGAGAGCAAACAGGAUUA
rnacentral:rRNA from 1 species